CAGCCGCCGCGGGAAUACGUAGGGCGCAAGCGUUGUCCGGAAUUAUUGGGCGUAAAGAGCUCGUAGGCGGUCUGUCGCGUCUGGUGUGAAAUCCCGAGGCUCAACCUCGGGCUUGCAUCGGGUACGGGCAGACUAGAGUGCGGUAGGGGAGACUGGAAUUCCUGGUGUAGCGGUGGAAUGCGCAGAUAUCAGGAGGAACACCGAUGGCGAAGGCAGGUCUCUGGGCCGCAACUGACGCUGAGGAGCGAAAGCAUGGGGAGCGAACAGGAUUAGAUACCCCGGUAGUCCCUGUCUCUUAUAC
rnacentral:rRNA from 1 species